UUUUUUUUUUUAAGCAUAGCAAUCUUAGCAGUUUGAAGGGAUUUUUCCAUGAAGGCAGGUAUUAAAAGAGCCAGGAACUGAAUACUGGCUCCAUGUGUAGCAUUUCCUGUUGUUCAUUUUUUUUCAGUUUUCUCUUCUUCAGAGAGAUGAAGAAAUCACCUGUGACCAGCAUUGGAUAUUUAAAAACUCUUACUCAGUGUAACUAAUUUGGAAUAAGAAAGCUUCCUCUGAGUUCAGCAGAGGCAACUUAACUUCAUAGAUUCCUCAUUAGUAGUAGUUUCACCAGAAGCAUAUACAUGAAGUUGACUUCAGGACAGUUUCGUUAGAAUAAUUUCAUUCACAUUAACAUACUUUGAAAGUGUAGGUGGUUUAUGUUUGCUUUUGUAUUAAGAUCUGUUCUGAAGAAAACCACAGCAAGGUACUUUUCUAAAAAGCUGUCAGAAUCUGCAAGAACUAUGUUGCAGGUUUCAUGCUAACGUAAGACUUGAAUUAAUAUAAAGGGAGAAAAAAACCUCAUUGCUUGUCUUGCGGUGAGCCAUAGAUGGAUAUAAGCCUUGACAGUGAGUACAAUGGAAGCUGGUUUCAGAAUCCUUAUAGAAAUUUUCUGUGAGAACGAUCCUUCAUUAAAAUGAGGAAGGGUCUGGAAGGUCAUAAAUCUAUCGGAUUUGAAGUAUUCUGUUAUGGAGUUGCAACUUGGUUUUGCUUGUUGUGAACUUACAAUGGGAACGGUGUAAUAAAUGAUACUUAACAGUUCUUAGUGGCUUACUAAUCUGAUAAGUACCGAGUUAGGUUUAUUGAUGUUCUGAGCCAUUGGGAUUGUCAUGUUUCUGUACUAACAAAAAAUCUUAAUACCUCAUGUGGUGUUAGCUGAUCAGUAAGUCUCAGACUAAGUAGUUUCUGCUUUUUGAGGUACUUGGUCUUUUUUAAGGUUGAAAUUAGUAGGGAUUUCUAAUGGGAAGUACUGAGGCUUGUUUUUCUGUAAUGCCAAGAGCUAAACUUUUACAGUUUAUUACCCUCACUAUAACAUUUUGAAGAGAACUGCUUUCAGUGGAUAAUAAAAUGAGAGGAGUACGCGGGUGAAUUGUGAAGAAGCAUUGCUGAUGUUCAGCAUCUCAGAAGUGAAGCUUCCUGGUUUGUAAAGGCAUUCUGAGGUUCACUGAGGUGUACACGCCACUCAGGUACAAAUUGCAGUGGAGUCGAUCAGCGGUCGCAUCUCAGCAAGGUUACAGAUUACCCUCAAUAAUGGCUCAGCCUAAAGGGUCAGUACAGAGUUACACUGGAGUGUUUAUAGUUUGUCAUUUUUUGUGGAGUUGGUCAAGUACAACUGCACGUCGAUGAUAAUCCACUUAUAUCUUGUAGUCUUAGAAAAACAAUAGUUAUUAGGAAUAACAUUUUUAAAGCAUCUUUUAAAUUUCUAUGCCCCCUUUCAAGACAACUCCCCCCCCCCCCAGCUUCUUGAUGAGCCUAUCUUGACAAGGGAGGUUCCUCUCACAGGAGUACCAAGUAUUUGUUUGGAAUUUAGAGGGUUGACCUAGGAGUGGUAGAACCACGUAUAUUCGUUCCUCAGUAAACCAUCCUUGUCUGCUCCCUGAGAAAAUUUCAGGUUGUGUGACAGUAGGAGAAAAGAAAUCCUCAAUUUGUGGGCAGAAUAAUAUAUGUGCCUUAACUAAGCUACUAACAAGUAUGUAAUCUAGGCUUAAAGGCAAAAUAGGUAAAUAACCUGGCAAACCACAAAGUAAAAGAACUUUAUUUGGCUGUUUUACAGCUUUGUGGAAUCUUUCUUGCUAUUAAUCAGUCUGUCCUUUUCCUGUGAAAGGUAGAUAUAUACUCUAAACUAGGCAUCAUCUAGCAGCCACAGCGAGAUGUGAAGGGAAUGUCAGGCGGUGAAGCUUGCCCAGGUUCAAACAUCAGUUCAAGAGCAGAUGCAGGUUCCUUGGACUUCAUGUGGAAAGGAUUCUCUCUCCUUACUAAGAUCAACAGGAUCAAGAAUAGAUGAGGCUUUGUGUAUCCUGAGUGCUCAUGGACAACACACAGAAGCAUUUGUUUCAUAGGCAGCCUUCAGUGGGGAAAAGUUGUCAGUUUCUCUGCAGGUGAGUAGUUAUUUUUGAAGACUUAAUAGGAGAUGGGAACGUUCCUGACUGUGGAAGGAAUGGGAGACAAAGCAUCCAGUGGAGAUGGGGUUGUAUAUUCUAAGUUCUUGGUGACACACAGGUGAGCAGCUUUGAACUAAAACACCUUGUGCUGUGUGCAAAGAUGUCUCCUUAUGUCCAGAACUGCUUCUCCAGAUAAUCUGUGACCUCGUUUCCUUCUUUGUGCUGGCUUUUUCCUCUGGGCAUCAGAAAACAAGAGGGGAGAGCCAGUACUGUACAGCUAGCUUGACUUCUCCAGACCUAAUGACCAACAAAAAUAAAAAGGAAGGGGAAUUGUGCAUUGGUGCUUGCUGUUGUGGUCCAGCAAAAUCCUCAGGCAGACUUUUCAGAAUUAAGACCAAGUAGUAUGCCAAGUUUCCUGAACAUAACUUAUCCCAGAAAUACACUGGGUAUAAACUAUACAUGACAGUGUGGUGAUAGGUUGGUACUCAAUUACAGUUUUACCAUAUCCAAAGUAGUGGAUGGUAAUGAUCAGUGGAGUUUGCUACAGUGCCUAAACAAAUAAUGUCUCAAGGGUCCAAUACAGGCCUCUGGGAAUGAUGGGUAUGAUAUUAAAGCCGCCUUUCCCCAUUUUGAUACCUUCAUUCUGAAGCAAAUCUGCUUUCUCAAAGGGAAAAUUGUUCCCUCUUGUAUCUGAAAUACACUGAACCCAACUUCAGGUUUAUCUAAAGCCUGCCAUUUCUAUGCAGUGUAAAGAGCUAUCUUAAAUUCAUCUGUUGAAACUUCAAAUCUCGAUCAUUACAAUUCUUAAAGGGAAAAAAUACCAGAAACAAGGUGUACAGAGUACCUGAAACUUUGGAGAUAAGAGAAAAUACUCGCGGCUCCUUAAGGGGAAGGAAAUAUAAUUCCUUUCAGUUUGAGAAGAAAGAUGGUAAGAUGAUUUUCAUAUUAACAUGCCCAUUUACUCGUAUAUACUUAGAAAUAUUUAUGUAUGUCUGAAAGAGGAAGCUUCAUGCCUAUCUUAUGUUUAAAGCAGUCUCUUUUUAUACUUCAGUGCAAUAAAACACAUUCACCAGGUAGUUUAUGUAAUAGCAAGUUAUUCAGUCACAAAUAAGCAACUGAUUUAGAAAGUGUGACUACUGAAUGAUGGUAUUCCCUCAUACAAUCUCAGUUCCUGUUAGCUCCAGUGUUUCCCACCUAGUUUCCCACCUAGAAUACUGGUUACCUAAAAUAAAAAGCAAAACUUUCAGUAGUGCAGAAAUUUGAUACUUAAAUUGGUAAAUAGAGCAGGCUGUGUUCUAGAUGAAAUGUUCACGUGGUCAGAAUUCAUUUAUUCAGAUGAAAUUAUCAGCUAAGAAAUGUGGUUCUAACUCCUUCAACUAGUCAUACAUUUAAACAUAGAACACCUUUAGCUAUCUCUUCCCAUGUGCUGAUUUCAUAACUUGUCCUGCUUUCAUUCAGCUCCUCUUACCUGCUCAGUACGCAUUCUCCUUCCCCGAAGGAGUGCUUUAGGGAACACCACCAUGCAGGUGGUGAGCAUGCAUUGUCACCAGGAACUAAAUUGCAGAUUAUCUGGGAGAAGUCACAAGUCUUUGUGGCUCAGAAGAGAGACUUAGCAAGGUAUGUGUACCAACAGGUCUGUGGAGGGAUCAUGGUCUCCUUCAGAAGCACCAUUACUGCCGGAACUAAAAGUGGUAUACAGCAAUAACGCCAUAGUACCACUGGUCUAUUUAAUAUUCCAGCAGUUUGGGGAACAAAUGGUUUGGCAUACCUUCAGAAACUUUGGCAGCUGCUGUCUGAUGACGGCAACAUUGAUCAGCUAUCAGCUGUAGAGAAGCCUGGCUUUGCAGAACCUGCUGUUGAGCCCUACUUCUUAAAUUUUCUCAUUUAAACUCACAUUCCUCUUACAGCAGAGUUUUACCAUUGGGCUUUGUGCUCAAUUUAUACAUAACAGUUAAUACUGACAAAUCACCCAUAUGCAUCAAGAAGUUUCUUCAAAAAACUUCAAAACUCAUCCUUGUGUACGAGGAGAAAUAAGUCUUUCUUCAGGCUUACAGAGGAUCAUCUUGUGCAUCAGUCUGUUAGCAUAAAAGAGAAUUUUUAUGCUUCUGUCAUACCCCAUAUUCUUGCCAGGAAAACUUAACAUGUAUGUCUCAUUAUUAUUUUUAUCUCUAGCCAUUCUAAAAAUGCCAUUUUUUUGCUGUACAUCAUAUAAAUGAAGGAAAAAUGUCCAAAAUACUGCAUACAUCCUCAGUCAACAAAUGGUAAUCAAAAUAGCCUGGGUUAUACAGCUAGCACUAACCAUUUCUGUGAAGUGGUUGAUGAAAAACUUAGCUGAAGCACAAACUAUUUUUUUUUUUUUUGAGGGUGAUAAUUAAUGUUGUUUAGCUCUUAACCUACACUGUUCCUAAAUGCUUCAUGUUCUCAGAGAAACCGGUUGCUCGAACUAAAAAUAUCCCUCCGGAAUGCUGACCUAACAAAAACACUUCAGGCAUCUGCUGUUGUACCUACAAAAGCUGAAGCAGUGGACUUCAGGGUACCAGCUUGCUUGUCACUACUUAAAAGAAAAAAAAAUCUCUAUAUCAGGGUUUACAUGAUCAACAGCAGGAGGCCUGACAGAUUUUAUCAGUAGAAUGCCUUCUCUGAUACAAGGUGACAGUCUUUAGUUGCACUGAGGCUUUUUUUCCACUUUAACAAGUCCUGUGUGUUGACUAGAAUUCAGUUAUGUGAAGACUUGAAGUUGGGGGAAUUUUUUCACUAUUUGAACAGGAAGAGGAAAAUAAAAUAAUAAUAAAAAAAACAACCUGGAGUUGUGUGCAAAUAAAACAAUAAUUCAUAAUCUGAAAUAAAAAAAGAUACAUUCAAGUGUAUCAAACCCCCCAAAUGAUUAAAUAGCUAUUUAACCAAGGCACUUAGGCAACUAAUAAAAAUUGUGGAAGUUCUGUUGAACAUUUUUGUUCUGCCUGUUGCAGCCUCUCCCUACUCCAGCACUACAAAACAAGAGACUAUAGAUCUGGAAAUGAGAUAGAGAGCAACAAAGAUGUCUAAAAGUACCAAGGUGCUCUCUUGAAGAAAAAUUAUUGAUGUAAGUUAAAAAUGCCAAAAAAUCAAUUCAUUUUCUAAAGGAUGGCUUGCUGAGGAGAUCAGGUUAAUUUUAUACAAUGAUAAGCAGCAAUCGUGCUGCAUAAGAAAUGAUUUUUUCACUAACACAAUAAUUUCACAAUACUAAAUGAAAGUUCUUGAGCCAUUCAUAAUGCAUCGUCACCCUCACAAGCAGAAUUAAGUGGUGGAAUGCCUCUCUGUGUGACUUUCGCGGGUGUUUAUGCUCAUGGUAGUUCAAAAACCAACCUGAAACUCGGGAAAGAAUUCCUUUUCAGGGUAUGCCCAAGAUUCAAAUCAGAGUCAAAGAAUAUUCUGGGAAAGUAUUAUAUUCUUUCCAUGCUUUUAUAACUCUUUCCUAGGUAUCCCCUGUUGGCCAUCAUCAAGCCAGGGAUGCUCACCUGGAUGAACAUUUGCUGAUCCAGCACAACUGUUUUAUGUAUCUGUUGUGAAAAACUUACACUGCACUUUGAAUCCUACAGGUCUCAUCUUAUUUAUGAGAGGCACAGGUGCUGCAUCACUGAGCAGUGUUUACCAGAAGUGCACAUCAUCUUACGAGUGCUUCCUUGACACUUUUUAAUUCAGCAGAAUCGAGAGAAUGUGGCUCAGAUUCCUCCUCAAACGUGAGAAUUUCACUCGUUAACCACCACGCUAUCAGUGGAAACAAACUCAGGAUGUGGCAUGCUUUGUGAAAAUAGUUACCUUUCCAGGGCAGGAUUUUCUUUAAACCCCAUUGUAAACAGAUAAUUUCAUUUAGAUUGAACUCUUAAACAUGUGCUAUAACAUUCUUUUAACUAUUUCCAUUAGUACAGCUCUUCUUUUGCAAUUUUUUUAUUGCAAAUUCUCAAAUCCAGCCACCAUGAAAAAUAUCCUCAAUAUUAGGUUAAAUUCCAUACCUAAACAGUUUAUCUCUUGCUCUUAUACUACAUAAACUGGAGAUUAUACCUUUGUCAAAUAUUUACCACAAACCUAAUAUUAAUUUCUUAAAGCAUUUAUGUAAUGUCUCCUCUAUAGGUCUAAUGCCUCUUUUUACAGAUAUUCUCUGUUGGAGGUUUUUUUUGGGGGGAGGUUGUUUGUUUGUUUGUUUUGGCCUGUAUUUCUUGUGGUCUGUAAAUUAUUGCCUUCUGCAGCCACUUUGCAAAUUUCCACUCUACGUCCUUGUUUUAAUGUCCCAUAAACUACUAUUUGUCAGAGGACAAAUUACUUUCACCUCUAAUAUACUCCAUUCUUGUCUCUGUUAUUUAAAAGACAAGCUGUGCAGAUCAAUGAUCUUUUGAGACAUUUCGCCUAUCUUUCUUAGCAAAUUUUUCCUUUCUUUCUGACAUUGUUCUCCCAAAGCAGCUCUUCUUCCCUGUUCUUCCAAAGACAAUUCAUGUGGGAUUUUGCCCAGUAAUCUAAACGCUCUGUUGCUGUGUCCAGAGGUUACCUUGUGCCCUGGGUUAUCGCUAUCCAAUUUAAUCUUGCAAUAUUGUGGAUCAACUCAUGGUUGGAGAAUGUGCUCAUCUAGGAAGCAAAGGUAGGAGCCCAGUCUCAUGGCGGGCAGCACACGGUCACACAAGCAACGAAUGCAGGUCUGUAUAGACAGUGCAGGGAGCUGACCCUCAAAAGACUGUAAAUCUGAUUAUUAGCAUGACUAUUCACGCAGUAACAGACAAAUGCACAUGACUGCAUUUGUAACAGUAGAACCAGUUUUGUUUACCUGAAUGCUUGUAAUUAUCUGAAUUCAUGAGUUGAAGCAGUAGCUUGGUGGACAUUCUUAAAGUUUUAAUCUGAAAAGUUGAAUUGCCUACUAAUGCUUAAUUUUCUUGGGAUCUGAGUCUGUUCACAUUUCUUACCUAUUUGCUGAAUAUUCUUUUGAAAUUUAUUUCAAGAAAGCUUUGUGCAGAAAAGUUGAAGUUAAAAAUUGAAAUGAAUCCUUUAAUUUCAGUUUUUAGAAAGAACCCACAGAAAUUAUCAGGACUUGUGGGGAAUGAUGCACAAGGGAAAACUAAUUCCUGACAGGUUAGAUAUGAAGGAUUGUAUGAUGCAAGUUAGCCUCAACAGCCUUAUCCUUGAGAAAAACAAGUAAAUUUGAAAAAGAGACAUUAUAGACAGAAGACAAAAACAAAAAGAAAACCUGAAGGGCAAAAACAGACUGUAUGCAGAGUAAAUUAAAUACAGUCUGCCUAUGUGAAUCUGUACUAUAGCUUGCUGCUUACAUAAAUAUUUAAGAUUAAACUAAAACACAAAGACAACAAAAAACAGUCUCAUUUUGUUAAAUAGAAUUUCUGUUUUGCUGGAAAGCAAGAAUCCUCAGUGUUUUUCAGUGUAGCAGAAGUCAGGCAUGGGCUGUAGAGGGUGGCCGGGACUGCACUGUGGGGGAGGAGGAUGGGUAAAGCAGGUUGUGGCAGUAUGUGACCAGCAGAGCAAAACUGAACUGAGGAAAGUAUUGAGGCUUCUCAGAUGACGAGGUGUAAUUACUGCCAAAUAGGAAUGUGGCAGUUUUAUGUGAAAUAAACAUAUGCUUGAACUUUGAAUCCGUAAUUUAAAAGAAACUUUACAUAAAGUACAGAACUCAGAUAGAAGCAGAAUUUGACUGUUGUUGGUUUGCUUUGAGAGUCACUACAUAUGUUCCAAAUACAUUAUGCUAGGUCAUCACAUCUCUAUGAAAUAUUUUAAAUGUUACACAUUUUAAAGAGUUAUUCCUUAUUAAAAGCAUUAAAAAAAAGACAAAAAAUCCCAAGAAGUUAAACUGAGAGGAUCAAGUUAGAAAGCAGUAAAUGUGCAUAUUCUGAGGAAAAUUAAUUUCCUCUGAACAGGCUGUACAGAGCCUUGCUGUAAAUGUGCACCUUAUUUGUGUGGGUGUAUUUUUUUUUUUUAAAUGCCUAAUAGAAAACAUGUGGACUGGCAUGAAAUAAUACUGUGCAGGCACUCUUAAGGAAAUCCAAUCCUGCCUGGGGCUUGUGCCAGGCUCUCUGAGAAAGGUCAGCAUUCUGAAGUCAAACUGCAGCAUUUCACCUGAUGUGGAGGUCAAGGGAAGUGUUGCAUAAAAUGACAACCAUCUGAGGGAUGUGUCUGAAGGCUAUUUUCAGCUUUCAUUUUCUUGAUAUUGACUCGUGUUCCCAGUGAGAGUUUUUCUUUCACAGAGAAUUACGGGCUUUCACUGUGGUUUUGUGAACAUGGCUUGUCUUCUCAACAGCACUUGUCCACGUGUCCUUUGCCCAAGUAUGCCUGUUUGGGGUUUGGGGUACACCAUAUAAAAGGCAACACCAGCUUCUCAAGGUAACUCAGAAAUAAGCAGGCGCUUCUGGCUGAGGAGGCUUUCUCAUAUUUGCAGCCCAGAAGCCCCUCUCGCUAUGAUUUCCUGGGAGCAGCUGCUGAGGCGCCUGUAUGUGUGCAGUGGCCCAUCUUCCCUCAUCUGCAGUGUCAUAACUUGGAGCUUCCCGAGCUGCGAUAACCACAGUGCUGACAAGAGCGUUCAGGCAGCGUGGGAACUCGUGACUUGCUCCGCACCUGAGGGCUGUUAUUAAUGUGAAGAUGGCUUGAAGCCUUCCUCACCAGCAAUAAACUACAUUCCAAACAA